CCUGCUAGUUCUGUUUGAUGUGCCUGAGUUACUGAGCUAGAGGAGACAUUAAGCAAUUUACCUUCUCCAUGCAGUCACGAUUACAUCGCAUUCUGAAUCGUCCCCAGAAGGGUCACUGCAGCUAUCUCCAGACCAUGGGUGAUGAGCUGAACUCACAAUCUUAACAUGGUCAGUGAAAGAAGAAUCCCAUUUGCUCAUCUGAAGCCAGCUUUUUCCAUAGAAUAUGACCAGCUUAUGUGAGACAUCUUAUUACCGUGGUGAUAUAUCACACAGUGAUGCCAAAAUCCAGUCAGCGUGGAGAAGAGUUGAAGGCUCAACCACACUUCAAGCAGCGUGUCCUGCUGCCGUGCCUGGGACUUCCUGCAAAAGGCAGAUCCUAUUUGCCCUUUGAAACUAGUGAACACAGUCAUGGGAGGCAAAGUACCAUCAGCAUCUGUUAAUACGCAAAAAAUAUAAUUGUCUGUUCUCCAAGGAUACGUUGCCAGUAGGUGGUCACAGCAAAACAGGAUAAAAAGAAAUGUAAUGAAACAAUCAUAGACAGCUGUGAGUACAAAGACAUUUGUGGAUCCAGUUACUUCUGCUUCAUCUUUGUUACAUAAAUCUAUUUCCCAAACUUAAUGUAUUGCCCGAGCUUGCAAUAUAUGAUUAACAGAACGUCUGCACCACUCAGAACUUGGGAGAAAAAUGUUCGAUGUUAAUUCUCCAUCAUUUUAGGUAACCUUAAAUAUUUCGGGCAUGAUUGAUCUCACACAGUGCUUUGGAUUUAUGCUUUGCAUGACAGAUGGAAAUCAGAAUAUACACACUGAUGCUGAAAACUUCUGACUCCUGUGCAGAAUCAGAGAAAAAGAGCUACAACACUUCCCUCCUCCUGGAGCUAACCUGGUCUUUCCUAAAAUCAUGCAGCUUCACAGGUCGUGGCCCAGAGAACAGGAGUCUCCCCAGCUCUUCUGCUCGUGCUACGUGUACCGGGCACCGUGACGGGGGGCAGGUUGCAAACAGUAGAAAUGUGAUGCUGUCAGAGGUCUGGGGGAGAUUAUUCUAUCCCCUGUGCAGUUGUUUGAGCCGCCCAAAGAGCAUGAAGCAGAUGCCUAGGUUCUUACUUAAGGCUUCCUGGGAAAAUCAACACUGUUUCAAAACUGUAUCAGAACCAAAACUAUGGAAAGAUUAAUCAAGCUUGGGUCAGGAGGGAAGGAGGAUGCAAUAGCUUUUGACAGCAGUGAACUGGUAAAUGAUGUACCCAAUGUUGAGCUCUCUUACGAGUCAGAAUAUUCAGUGCAUCACAUCAAAAACUUCUUUAGACUAUUGCCAUAAUAUUAGACAGAACAUGGAAAAAGAUGGUAAACAGAGCCAUCAAAGGUACAUUUUAAAUUUACUACUUGCAUUCUUACACUAAUCUGACAAUCAUAAAGCCUUACUAUAAAUCAAAUGGAGCAAAUGCCAUCAGUAAAUUAGAACAUAUAUAGUAAUCCAUGUAAAAAAGUUAAAAAACCUUUUGGCAGAGAAGACAGCUGCGAUUCAGAGUUCCUUCCAGUGUUAAGCACAAGCAGCAGAAACUGCUUUAAGCAUUUUUUAAAAUCACAUUCUAGUUGCUAGCCUUUGGAUUUUACGGUUUGUCUUUCUGAAGCAAUGAUAAAACCAUCAUAGCUUUAAUCAACUUUUUGAAACAUUGUCCAGUCUGAAAAACUGAGAGUGAAAUAAAAAGUAAGACAAAACAAAAAUCGGAAAUACUGUACAUUUUUGCCAUUUCUGUCAGCCCCAGCUAGGAAAUGUUGUUAUAAAGCAAGAUAAAAAAUAGAGGAAGGAGAUAAAUAGUAACUGCACUCUUAUUUUAGGCUAUGUUAUAUCUGACUGUUUCAAAAGUAGGAGGAAUAUGAGACUGGGUAUGUAUCUCCACCCCCUCCAAGAAUUGCCAGGAACAUUGUUUAUGAGUGUGAUCCAAACAUGAGAACAGUUUCCUUACCUAUGGUAUGUGGCAAUCGUGGAAAUAUCAUGUUUUAAUUGACACCGCGUUCCCAUCAUCACAACGUACACUGAAAAGUCAUCAUCUUGGGACAUACAGGACUGGAAAAUUAGGGUGGCAGAUAAUUAUCCCACGGGCUGCAAACAUUUCCCUCAAUGGAAUCCCAGCCACCGGGGGUCAGCAGCUAAGAAACGAGCCCAUGCACAGGGCGCAACUCCACCAUGAUGGGCACACUACCUACCAGAGCUACGUGUGGUUGCUGAGAGCACGAGGGCCUGUACUGACCCCCCUAAGCUGGUGGCAGGGUUUGGGGAGGAAGGCCAGGGGGUUCUACCGCCUCUACGUGUACUCUCUUUGGCUGCCUUCAAAGAGAAUGAUGCUUUAACUCAGCGCACUCACUGAUUGGUAUAUUCUACUGCUGUAACUCAGAUUUCCCCCAAAAAAUCUUAAGGUAAGCUCUGAAGAACUGGGAGGAGGGAGAAGAAGCUUUCACUGAACGAAGCAAGUUUUCCAGAAUACAACCUCAUCCUUUUUGACCACCUAUUACAGUCAAUCUGACUGGCUAGUGCCAUGCUUCAAGUUUACUCAGGUUUUUUCCCUGUCUUCAUUGCUUUUAAAUUAACUGGCAGCUAAAAGUUUCAUCUAAAGCUAUUUUGUGUGCUUUUUCUGCCUUACAAAAAUGCCCAUCCAAGAGUUAUUUACUCAGCACCAAGCUUUAGGAAGUCACCUUGAUAUGGGAGGAAAAAUAUCUGUUAUAACAGAAGUGCUUUGUUUUAAUAUGUUAGUGAAGGCAAAGAAAUGCCAGACAGAGCUGUGGAUGUGACUGUUUAUCAUCCUUUGAGAAAAUAUAUGUUCUAAAUCAGCUCAGUGGUACUUGUGUCACUGAGUUUCUAAUAUUGUUGAAAACUGACACCAACACCAUGAUCUGAAGAAUUUAAAACUUUGACCCAAGAAUAAUGUCCCCCUUUACAAGAAAGACCUCCAGAAUUCUGACCUCAUCUUGAGCUAGAGAGCUAAUUUUCCAAGCUGCUGCCUGUAUUGGGCUUCAAACCAAAACUGAAUGAAUGCAAAGGAGGAAGCCUAAUGUACAGCAGUUUAAAUAUAUGGAGGCUUUGGGGGUUUUGGAACAUCAAACCCUUCAGAGUACAAAAUAUUUGCAAUUUGGUAUUGCAAGCAUUUCCCUUCCCACUGGGAGGUAAUUAUCAUAAAGGAAUACAUUGCUCUCAGACAAUAUCUCAGGCUGGCCAUGUUCUUGUUACUUAAACUUAUUCUUAUAACCAGAAGAAAAGUAGCGUCACCUGUGGUGAGGGCUGUCUUUGUGAGACUGCUCUCUCAUAUCAUACUCCUAUUUAAGGGAACCAAUUCAGCGGUUGAGAAUAAGCCUAAGGAUUUCAGUGGUAUUUUGUAUUUUUAAUCACAGCCUUUUCAAGGUAAUCCAUAUUUCAGAAGUUGCCCGUAAGCGUCAUCUUCAUUUGUAACCUCUUGCCAUAUUUAUUCCAUAGAACUUUGCAUAGAGCCUAUGACCACAGAGGCUUCCUGACUGCAGCUCCUCCCAGCUCAGCUGCCAGCAACACAUCCCAGCCAUUUGUUUAGCGUGCAAAAACCCACACUGAUUCUCUGGGUUGAGUAACAAUGUUCUUAUUACACCCACCUAAUGCCCUUAACAUUGGGUAACAGGAAACCAGGGGAUGAAAUGAGCUAUUACUUCUGGUUUCUAUGGUCCUGAAUCUGUAAGCUCUGGUUCUCGGGGGGCAUCUGCUCUUUGACAAUACUUCCCAUAUUGCGUUUCAGCCAGGAAGAUGGAUGUACCUUCGUUAAAGUGAGUCAUUCACUGAACCUAGGCCAAACUUUGAAGCAAAUCUGGGCCAGUUUACUGCCCCAGGAGGAAACCUGGGUUUUGCAUGAAUUAGAUGUGAAAAUAAGCAGAGCCUGACUGACAUCUUCUCUGAAUUCCAACCGUAAGGGUAAAACCCAGUGGGCACGAGCUUCAGGCAUGACAAAAAUGAGCAGGGGAAAAUGAGGCUUCCCAUCUCCCCUCCAAGAGCCAGAGACACACAUUACUCAGAACUUAGGGUAAAUUGUUAAUUAUUUAUACACUAAUUAAGUAGUGUUUAUAGAAUGUCUUACAUAUGUAAAUUGCUGUAAAUAUGCUUACAUUUUUCCUGCAGUCUCCAAUUAAACGAACUUUCAUUUUAGAGC